ensembl:snRNA U6 U6 spliceosomal RNA
GUGCUCACUUCGGCAGCACAUAUCCUAAAACUGGAACAACACAGAGAAGAUUAGCAUGGCUCCUGCGCAAGGAUGAUAUGCAAAUUCGUGAAGCAUUCUGUAUGUUU